rnacentral:rRNA from 1 species
GACGAACGCUGGCGGCGUGCUUAACACAUGCAAGUCGAACGGAAAGGCCCUGCUUUUGUGGGGUGCUCGAGUGGCGAACGGGUGAGUAACACGUGAGUAACCUGCCCUUCACUUUGGUAUAACUUCAGGAAACUGGGGCUAAUACCGUAUAGGAUCUCCUGCUGCAUGGUGGGGGUUGGAAAGUUUCGGCGGUUGGGGAUGGACUCGCGGCUUAUCAGCUUGUUGGUGGGGUAGUGGCUUACCAAGGCUUUGACGGGUAGCCAGCAUGAGAGGGUGACCGGCCACAUUGGGACUGAGAUACGGCGCAGACUCCUACGGGAGGCAGCAGUGGGGAAUAUUGCACAAUGGGCGGAAGCCUGAUGCAGCAACGCUGCGUGCGGGAUGACGGCCUUCGGGUUGUAAACCGCUUUCGCCUGUGACGAAGCGUGAGUGACGGUAAUGGGUAAAGAAGCACCGGCUAACUACGUG